CUGCGUUGGAGAGGAGCCGUGAGUGGAAUGUAGUUGGGGUCUGUCACCGAGACCGUCAGCAGACCCUCAGGCUAGCCCUGUGUCUUCUGGACUGAUUUUAGGAUUGGGGGGACUAGUGCCCCAAGACUUUGAGAUGCUGGAAGCAUGAAGCAGCUCUGCUUUUAGGUCUGGAGUUCACCGCAGUGGGGUGGAGGCUUUCCCUGGGCUGCAGAGGGACCUAAUAGCUUUGUGGAAGCUGCCAGUUCCAUAGGGGAUGAGUUCCUCCACCGGCCAUUGGCAGUGCUCAGCCACGGGAUCCCAGGCACCCGGAAGCGAAAACCACAGCAGGUCCCCAGGAAAAUCACUCCUCCUUGCCCAGUGUGCCUGUCUGUUCCCAGCUCCUGUCUUCUCCAGACCGUCAGGAGAGAACAAGAUCGUGGUGCCGGUCUGUACCAGGACCCUUGAGCCAGUGGGAGACCCAAGCAGGGCUCCUCAGAAGGUUCCUCUGAAAAACCACCUAUAGAUGCUGGGAAACAAAUGGUCUUCAUUUGUUUUCUGGGAUUAUGGACUAUGAAAAUAGAUGUUUGGGAUUUGCAGAAGGCGUCUUUUUUACAGAGAGCCCAGCCAGCGACGUUUCCAGAAAUUGAACCAACCAGUGGAUGACGGAGAUUUUUAGGGGGCGUUAUCUGCAGGAGGAAGCCCAGUCCUGGCAACUCAGACAACAUUGCACAACACAUUGUGCAACCACACAACCCCAGGCCUCUGAGGGUUACAGGAAGUGAGCUACUAAGUGAUCCUAGGCCUGGGAACAGAAUUGUCCCAGGUACCUGACUCAGAUGUGGUUCUGGAGAACAGUGGACACAAAAAAGCCUUUCAAAGAGCAGACCUUGCCAGGAUGGCUGACCAGGAAGCACCUUGAACAGAUGAAACAAUUGAUUCUCACUACACAGCCCGACAGGAUGGCUGUGCCAGUAUAGGCCAUUUCCGCCCCCCCCCCCCUUUUUAAUCAAAGUGGAGACGACCCUGACCUUAUUCUCUUCCUGUUUUCUCUCUACUAUUGUAUAGUGGGUGUGUCAAGAGGAGUUAAAAUUAUUACAAAUUCCCUGUGUUGAUAAUCCAUGAAAAAUACACCUGAAUGGGACUAAGAGUUAUUUGAUCAGAAAAUGGAUUUGGAACUGGUUGCAGUCAAUGAAAGUAUUUUGGGGUUGUCUGUCUUUGGGGAGGAAGUGGGUAUGAUUGCAUUUGUAGGAUGGAGCUCUCUUUUUAAGAAGGAGAUACUUCUAGAACACAUGGAAAGAAUUGCAUAAGUUGUACACAGCAGCCAAGGGGUGGAACAUGGUAGCCAUAACUCUUUUAUUUCCUCUGAGGGUAUGUCUCUCCCUCCACGUUUUGUGUGUUUACACUGGGGUUAUCAAUCACAGAGUCCCACCCUCUUUAGCUACAAGGUGUUUAGUUAUCUGUUCCUAUGUAGCCAGUGACCCCAAAAUUUAGUGGCUUAAGACUACAGUUUAUUACGUCCCAUAAUUUAUGACUUGGCUGGACUCAGUUUGGCCCCCCUGUCUCAUUAUGGGGGGUGUGUGGCUGCAUCCCGCUGAGAGCUCAUCAGGGGCUGGGAUGUUCAAAACAGCUCCAAAGAGCAGAGACAGAAGCUUCAGGGCCUAUGAAAACCUAAUCUUGAAAGUUAUACAGCGUGGCUUCCAUUGCAUUCUACUGGUCAAAAUGAGUCACAAGGCCAGCUCAGAUUCCAAGGGGAAGGGACAUCAACUCCCCAUGGUGAAGGGAGUCAGGCUGGGAGAAAAGUUGGUAGACCUCUUGCUAAUAAUUUCCUACAGUUUGCCUCCUGGCUACAAAACACCACACUUCUCAUGUGUGCAGAAUGCCCUCAGAGUCUCCCAAGACCCCCAAAGUCUCAUGCAAUCUUGGACUGAGACUCCAAGUCCAAAAUCUCAUCAUCUAAAGAGGCCCAGAUGUAGAUUAAGCUUCUUAGGUGUGAUUCCUUGAUUGAAACUCCUCAGAUGUAAUUCCUAUGGAUCCAGAGGACGGUGAACUAAGUAGUAACACAUUUAUUCUCCCGGCCAUGCAGGGAGAGAGCUGUAGUCAUGCCCAUUGUUCAAUCAGAUGUCCAUGGACACACAGCUGGAGAAUGGCGAAGCUGGGAUUCAAUUCAGUUCUGUCUGAUUCUAAGGGCCAUGCUUUUUUCAGCCGAGAAAUAUUACACAAGGCAAUGUGGUUGGGAGACGAGUAUUAAUGAUGAUAUUGAAAUAGAAUUGUAGUGAUCUAAAGGUACAGAAAAACGUCAAGCUUUCUCCUCUUCUCAUUCCCCGAUAGGCAUCUGACAUUUUCCUGUCAAAGUAGAAUGAAAUUUUAUAGCUUUAGAUGACCAGAUAUAUAUUUUUCUACACAGCUCAAAAUGUUUUUUCCUUUGUUCUUUUGGUUGCCCCACUAUUUUCUUUGUGGAACCACUUUCCAGAAUUUUUCUUGAAAUUUUAUAUGGGUUACUUGGAAAGCUGAACUCAUCGAGUUGUAAAUUUGGGGAUCUCAAUGACAAGAUAAGGCCUCUCAGCAAGUUAGCAUCAGGGACUCUGAUCCUGCCCCAAGUCAGCAGGCUGCCAUGGUAAGGGGGGAAUAGUCUUUUGUGGUCAUGCCAGGACACUUAGUUAUGGAGUGUUUUUUAGAACCUAUAUAAAAUGUUUUCCUCUCCAUUGAGCAAGAACUCAAGGGUUACCUAAGUUCCACGCACACCCAUCUAGCCCUGCCCAAACCAAGAAAGAGAACAUCCCUGGAAUCCCAUACAUCCUUAUUAACUAUGUCCCGUUACAUCCUCCCUCCUCCCCAGAUGUGGGCACAAUUCUCACUUUUAAUGCUAUAGAUUAGUUAUACUACUCUAUGUUUAAAAAUUAUUGCAUACAAGUAAUCCUACAGUAUCUAUGUAAUGUGUACAGUUUCUUACCUAAAUAACAUGAUCGUGAGCUUCAUCUAAGUGAUUGCAUGUAGCAACGAUUCACUCAUCCGCAUGGGUGUUUUUUGCUUCCCAUUGUAUGGACAUAUCAUGAUUUAUUGAUCCACUUUUCUAUAAUGGACAUUUGAGGGGUAUGUUAGUCAGGGUUCUCCAGAAAAACAGAAC